rnacentral:rRNA from 1 species
UACGGAGGGUGCAAGCGUUAUCCGGAUUCACUGGGUUUAAAGGGCGCGUAGGCGGUCGAUCAAGUCAGGGGUGAAAUCCUGCAGCUUAACUGUAGAAGUGCCUCUGAUACUGAUCGUCUUGAGGGAGGUAGGGGUGUGCGGAACUUCCAGUGGAGCGGUGAAAUGCGUUGAUAUUGGAAGGAACGCCGGUGGCGAAAGCGGCGCACUGGACCUCUUCUGACGCUGAGGCGCGAAAGCUAGGGGAGCAAACGGG